AUGGCCGACGCCCAGCUGAAUUUUGGCGGCCUGGCUGUUGACCCGCCCGGAAUGGCCAAGAAGAAGAAGGCCAAGGCGCCAAGGAAGCCGCUGUCGGAGUGCACGCCGGAGGAGACCGCCAAGUUGGACACAGAAUCGGCGAAGAGGAGGAACCGGAGGGCGGUCGUCAAGGACAACACUGCUGCGGCCAAGUUCUCCGCCGAGCGCGAUGCGAUGGAGGCCGCGCGGCUCAAGGCCGAGGUCGAGGAGAAGGAGGCCAUCGUCAACAAAGUGCACGCCCUCCUCAUGCUUGGCAUUUGUCGUCCGGCCAGUUUAUCUGCAACGUUCAUGGAGGAUGCGAUCUACGACGGUGGGCAUGUCCCUGCCUACGAUCCCGAGGAGACCCAAAGUCAGGAUGGCCGCGCCCAGAUCGUUGCCGAUGAAGAGGCCGACGACCGUGCUGACUACGACCAUGGUGACUCGUGGCAUGAAGACGAUGACAUAUAUUGCGAAGGUGAUGGUGAUGAAGAAGAAGGCAAUGACAUUGAUAUUAGUGGCGAGCCAUUGUUCAUCAUUGAGCUCACCCAAAGAGCGGAAUCACAAAAGAGGAGGAAGAGCAUUCGCACAGGUUCAUAUACACAAGAGGAGGACAAGUUGAUUUGCCAAUGUUGGAUGGAGAUUAGCCAAGAUCCGAGGACGGGCGCGCAACAAAAGGGCCUAGUUUUUUGGACGAGAGUCCACAAAACUUUCCAUGAAAGGAAGAUGUUUGAGCCCUACCAAAUUACAAGCAACCGUGGCAUCACCUCGAUUCAAAAGAGGCGGUUGUUCAUCCAACAAGAGUGCAACAAGUAUUGCAUCACAUUUGAGAGAGUUGAAGCACGACCCGUGAGUGGUCUCGGCGUUGGGGACAUGGCAUUUCAGUCCUUGGAAGCAUUCAAGGCCCGACACAAUGACAAGUCAUUCACUCUUACGCAUUGUUGGACGAUCAUCAACAAUUGCCCUAAGUUCAAGGAUCAAUACCGUGAACUUCAACGGAAGAGAGGCAAGAAGACGACCAAGUUCGCCGGAGGUGGAGAUGGCGAGGCGUUGAAGAGGCCGAGGGGCAAGACCAACUCCAAGGUGGACGAUAUACGUGAUGCCUCAUCCAUGGCCUUGCAUGAGACUUUGCAUGGCAUGAUGUCUUAA
rnacentral:rRNA from 1 species